rnacentral:rRNA from 1 species
GCUCAAGCUUAAAAUCCAGUCUCUUUUGAGAUUCGAAUUGUAGUGUAAAUUAACAUUAAUAUGGUCAUGAUAAUUGCCUAAGUGUGAACAUCUGAAUUUCCUAUCAAAGACGGUGAUAAUCCGGUAUGGUAGUUUGAUUGGCUAAAUAUUCUUGUUAUUUAAAGAGUCGAGUUGUUUGGGAUUGCAACUCUAAUAAAGGUGAUAGAUUUCAUCUAAAGCUAAAUAUAUUAGGAAAACCGAUAGCAAAGAAGUACUGUGAAGGAAAGGUGAAAAGAACUUUGAAAAGAGAGUUAAAAGUGCUUGAAAUUGUUAAAAGGGAAGCGAAUGAAAAGAAUUACUGCGAUUAAGGUCCUCAGUAUUUCUGAAGGGGAAUUUAAUGAAAGGCUUAGUCGACUUGACCUGUCUGAUUUGAAAACCUUGGACGAUUAUUUAUAGAUCUUGCAGAUUAAUGUAAAAUAAGGAAAUUAAAAAAAAGGAACUGAAAAAGAAGAUAUGUAGUGGGCGUUGUCUCAUUGUCAAU